GCCUGCCCCCCGCCCCCGUUUCCUCCCCAGCUCGGGCCGGCGCGGGUCCACCCGACUACAAUGCAGCGCGCGGCUGACCCAGCUGCUCCGGCUCCUGCCCGGGGUAACCACGGCAACCGCGGGCCUCCAGGAAUGCGCGCUAAUUGAAGGCCGAGUUUCCUCCCACAGUGAUGAGCAACAAGUGAAGCAAAAAUAGGCAGUGAACGGCCGCGAACGACGUCAUUUAUGGUUCAAAAAUCUUAGGGCAAAUUUUUCAGAAAACAACUAUUUGCUCGAUUCAGGUACCUAGAUGAAUGGAGAUGUACGUGCACAUACACAGGUCCCCAGGAACAAAAUGCCAGCUAGCAGCAGGGUUCAGCAGGUGGAGUCCAGAGAGAAGCAUCCAGGCUGGGGGACAAUGCCGAGCUGGGAGAGCUGUGCUAAAGUGACGAAAGAAGAUGAACGAGAGAUACCCAAAGAAGCCUCCAGGAAAACACAUCGCUUGCUCCAGGAGUGUGUUCCCAGAGUGUCGACACAGCUCCAGCGUUUCUCACAGCCUCUGCUGCCAGCAAAGGAUAAAACACCACCCAUAUUCAGGAACAAAGACAGAGUGAACCCUCCUUCAAGUCUUAUUGCUAGAUGGCACCUGUUGCUAAAAUAGCAGCUGCCGCCAUUGUUUGCUCCUCUACUUUGCUGAGGCUGAGAGGCAGCUUGUCUGUCCACACCUCUGACAGCAGUGAUGGGAUGAGGAGAAAGCAGGAGCAGGGAGCAGAGGAUGAUCAAUGGGAUCCCAGGAGUCAGUCUCACUUUCGGAGCAAAGAAUCCCCAGCCAUCUGACAGCUGAGCUGGUCCUGAUAACUAACCUGUUGCCUGAUUCCAAGCAGAACAGCCUCUCCAGGUGCAGGUGGCAGAAGGCACAGACAAAGCCAUCACCUCCCUCAAAACAAAAAUAAAACAAAAAGCCCUCCAGCAAAAAGCCCAGAGAGGCAGCUUAGGAGAGGGCAAAUGAGACUGGUCUGGGGUUUGAGAGAACUGGAAUCUAGUCCCUAAUCAAUCAUGAACGUGCUAUGUGCAUAUUGCCUCUCUAGGACUCCAUCUCUAUAAACUGAGAGGGCUGAACUACAGUUCCUGUAGUACCCUCCAGUGAUAUGAUUCCAUUUCAUAAAAAGCUGUGAGCCAUCUAAAGAGA